rnacentral:rRNA from 1 species
ACCGAUAGUGAACCAGUACCGUGAGGGAAAGGCGAAAAGAACCCCGGCGAGGGGAGUGAAAAAGAACCUGAAACCGUGUACGUACAAGCAGUGGGAGCCUCUUUAUGGGGUGACUGCGUACCUUUUGUAUAAUGGGUCAGCGACUUAUAUUCUGUAGCAAGGUUAACCGUAUAGGGGAGCCGAAGGGAAACCGAGUCUUAACUGGGCGUUAAGUUGCAGGGUAUAGACCCGAAACCCGGUGAUCUAGCCAUGGGCAGGUUGAAGGUUGGGUAACACUAACUGGAGGACCGAACCGACUAAUGUUGAAAAAUUAGCGGAUGACCUGUGGCUGGGGGUGAAAGGCCAAUCAAACCGGGAGAUAGCUGGUUCUCCCCGAAAGCUAUUUAGGUAGCGCCUCGUGAACUCAUCUUCGGGGGUAGAGCACUGUUUCGGCUAGGGGGCCAUCCCGGCUUACCAACCCGAUGCAAACUACGAAUACCGAAGAAUGUUAUCACGGGAGACACACGGCGGGUGCUAACGUCCGUCGUGAAGAGGGAAACAACCCAGACCGCCAGCUAAGGUCCCAAAGUCAUGGUUAAGUGGGAAACGAUGUGGGAAGGCACAGACAGCCAGGAUGUUGGCUUAGAAGCAGCCAUCAUUUAAAGAAAGCGUAAUAGCUCACUGGUCGAGUCGGCCUGCGCGGAAGAUGUAACGGGGCUAAACCAUG